UUUUUUUAAUUAAAUGAAUGGAGGGCGGCGGCAACUGUCGCAGCGGGCUCAGCUGCGCGAACUGUGCCCCCUCCCAGCCUGCGAGAGGAGAUGUGGAAGCUCAAUCCAGGACAACCAGUGUGAGCAUAGGACAGGAGAGAAGAAAAAAACGGCCAAGAAUUAAAGAGACCCUUCUGGCUUCCGUUCUGGCUGCUGAAAGACCACCUUAUUCUACCCUCCAGUGUCAGGUACACGGUUCUUUAUGUUCGUUCUCUCUUUGUGUCUCUGGA